rnacentral:rRNA from 1 species
UACGUAGGGCGCAAGCGUUAUCCGGAAUUAUUGGGCGUAAAGAGCUCGUAGGCGGUUUGUCGCGUCUGCCGUGAAAGUCCGGGGCUCAACUCCGGAUCUGCGGUGGGUACGGGCAGACUAGAGUGAUGUAGGGGAGACUGGAAUUCCUGGUGUAGCGGUGAAAUGCGCAGAUAUCAGGAGGAACACCGAUGGCGAAGGCAGGUCUCUGGGCACUAACUGACGCUGAGGAGCGAAAGCAUGGGGAGCGAACAGG